AUAAAUGCGUCAUUAACGAUGAAGUCCAGGAAUUGCACAGCUACUCAGCUACUUGUACUGCACGACGACAAUGGGCGGGAAACUAUUUCUUGUUGACAUCUUGGUGAAACUGUAACGUCCCUCAUGUUAGAGUCCACAUUCUCAGAAGCACGUUUCUUCACUGCAGGUUUCGGUGAAGCGCAGAGAUGAGGCAAAUCCAUAUCCAUGCCUGGAUUAUCUUCCUCUCCCUCACCUUGCACAGGUGUGGAGAGCUGAUAUGGCCCAAACCCACAUGCUCCCGCUGCACCAUGGGAAGAAGUGGGACAGAUGUGAAUGAAGUCAGUCAGUCAUGCAGGUUUGGAACGACUCGAGGGUGCUCAUCUGUGACUGGCGGCGGCGCUGGACUGGAUUAGUGAGAGAUCAGCCGCGUCAGCUUCACACAUGAGGAGCUGUCUGACCUGAACCUGCUCUCUGCUGCCUUCAGCAACGACACCACAGUCUCAGAGAGAGAGAGAAACAGCACGAGCUUUUAAAAAUAAUGCUUGAGAGCUACAGCACAGCAGGCAGAAAUAAGGCAACGACUAGUAUGUAGGAGGACAGCAACAACAGCUAUCUGAACUACAAACACCUUUCAUCCAAUAGAUUUCCCGUUUUCCGUUCCAUUGGAUAACUUUAAAAUAGCUUUUUCAUUAAUUGUUUAUAUAUAGGAAAAGUGACUUUUCAAUGACUAAAAGGCUGAAUUGAAUUAAUUUAAUAAAUUUAAAUGCAAUGAUUUCAUGCCAGUUGGACCCAAGUUUGACUUUUAUUUGCACUGAUGGCGAAAAAGUGUCAGAAAUAAUGCUAGCAAACACGUACAGACAGAAAUCGAGCAUGCUCAACUCUAAAUAUUAUGUCUGCUGUGCAAUAACUUUAUUAACAAAAGAAAAAAAUAAAUGUAAGAUUAUAAAAUUUAUAUAAAAUUACUGUUCCAGCCUUUCAAAUUUACAAAACAUUUCCACGUUUUCCAAGAUCGUAAACAUUGUUUAACUAUAUCUUGGCAUUAAAAAGCAAUGCAAAUGAUAUUAAUACUAACACGAAUUUGUGCAAACAUGAAAUCUACUCAAAAUACAACAAUCUGUCAAUAUUUUUGUAGAUUCCAGUUUUAUGUAGUUCAAACAAUCAAACAAACAUAAAAAACAAAAAAAGUCAAACAAAAGGCAAACGUUUACAUAAACAUUUGCAAAUAA